UGAAAGUUGAGAGGAUCAAGGCUUUUCCUGCACAGCUAGUACAAAGAUUAAGCUAGGGACAUGAAGAUUUGAGCAAGACUGUCAUGUACAUUGGAUCAGGCAACAGCAGGAGUGUAAGAAAGCUGUAGAGAGCCCACACUGGAGCAAGAUUGUGGCAGGAGCAGAGGAAAAUUGUGGGGAGAAAGGAGCAGCAGAAAUGAAGUGUUAUGAAGUGACCACAGCCCCCAUUCCUUAUCUACCUUACGUCAAUCAUGGCCAGGGAGAAGGAAGAGAAGGUGAGAAUGAAGGAAUGAAGCUGAGCUUUGUAACAAGUCUCAGCUGGAGAAAUCCCUGAGGAAAGGGGAUUAGGAGAAGGAACCACUAGCUCGGGCAAGCAUGGAGCUUUUGCACAAGGAGGGAGAUCCAUAAUUCAGGCAGACCCAGAUGUAAGUGGACUGGGCUUCAGCUACAGUCUUUCAGUGACCGGAUUAACCAUCACCAGUGUGACUCCGAAGGCUGUCUCAAAUGUAUGCAGGGCGUUAACUCUUGCUUGACUGCAAACAUGCACCUUGCAAAGUUUGAACACAAAAUAUGCUAUGGGAGUGCGUAUAUACUGAAACUUAUUCUUUGAGAGUGGAUGCUGCCUUUAUCUUCUAUACCAGCUGAUGGAACAAGUUUGUUCAUGUGGCCCUUUCAGGGUAAGGAAU